GUUCACUUUGGCAGUACAAAUACUAAAAUUGGAAUGAUACAGAGAUUAUCAUGGCUCCUAUGCAAGGAUGACAUACAAAUUUGUGAAGUGUUCCAUGUUAAA
rfam:Canis lupus familiaris chromosome 8, whole genome shotgun sequence.